CGGUGAGGAUGUUCUAUGCAGAAGUUUCCAUUGUUUGGCACAUGCAGCUGAUCUGAAGUGCCACGCAGUGCUAGGUUUUGGGUAGCAAGCCCUCUCACAAUGGCAAAGAGCCUUUUCAGAACUCUGAUGCAAUCUUCUCUUCAUGCUGAUCAUCUAUGGUGGC